CUAAAGAGCCUAAAUAAAUGCUGUAAAAGAAUCAGUUCCUGUCUGAUCCUGAAAGUGAAGCAGGGUCAGUCCUGUUUAGUACUUGAAUGGGAGACCACCAAUGAAUACAUGGCGCUGUACACC
rnacentral:rRNA from 11 species